rnacentral:rRNA from 1 species
AUGCUCCUGGAGCGGCCGAUAUCUGAUUAGCUAGUUGGUGGGGUAAAGGCCUACCAAGGCAUCGAUCAGUAGCUGGUCUGAGAGGACGACCAGCCACACUGGAACUGAGACACGGUCCAG